rnacentral:rRNA from 1 species
GGCCGCAUGCCAUAGGAUGAGCCCAAGUGGGAUUAGGUAGUUGGUGGGGUAAAUGCCUACCAAGCCUGCGAUCUCUAGCUGGUCUGAGAGGAUGACCAGCCACACUGGAACUGAGACACGGUCCAGACUCCUACGGGAGGCAGCAGUGGGGAAUAUUGCGCNAUGGGGGGAACCCUGACGCAGCCAUGCCGCGUGAAUGAAGAAGGCCUUCGGGUUGUAAAGUUCUUUCGGUAUUGAGGAAGGUUGAUGUGUUAAUAGCACAUCAAAUUGACGUUAAAUACAGAAGAAGCACCGGCUAACUCCGUGCCAGCAGCCGCGGUAAUACGGAGNGUGCGAGCGUUAAUCGGAAUAACUGGGCGUAAAGGGCACGCAGGCGGUUAUUUAAGUGAGGUGUGAAAGCCCCGGGCUUAACCUGGGNAUUGCAUUUCAGACUGGGUAACUAGAGUACUUUAGGGAGGGGUAGAAUUCCACGUGUAGCGGUGAAAUGCGUAGAGAUGUGGAGGAAUACCGAAGGCGAAGGCAGCCCCUUGGGAAUGUACUGACGCUCAUGUGCGAAAGCGUGGGGAGCAAACAGGAUUAGAUACCCUGGUAGUCCACGCUGUAAACGCUGUCGAUUUGGGGGUUGGGGUUUAACUCUGGCACCCGUAGCUAACGUGAUAAAUCGACCGCCUGGGGAGUACGGCCGCAAGGUUAAAACUCAAAUGAAUUGACGGGGGCCNGCACAAGCGGUGGAGCAUGUGGUUUAAUUCGAUGCAACGCGAAGAACCUUACCUACUCUUGACAUCCUAAGAAGAGCUCAGAGAUGAGCUUGUGCCUUCGGGAACUUAGAGACAGGUGCUGCAUGGCUGUCGUCAGCUCGUGUUGUGAAAUGUUGGGUUAAGUCCCGCAACGAGCGCAACCCUUAUCCUUUGUUGCCAGCGACUUGGUCGGGAACUCAAAGGAGACUGCCAGUGAUAAACUGGAGGAAGGUNGGGAUGACGUCAAGUCAUCAUGGCCCUUACGAGUAGGGCUACACACGUGCUACAAUGGCGUAUACAGAGGGAAGCGAAG